rnacentral:tRNA from 3 species
AAGGCUUUAAGUUAAUCAAAACUAAUAUCCUUCAAAGUUAUAAAUAAAGAUUAUUUCUUUAAGCCUUA